AGAAGCUAGAGGCCGGCUUCCACAUUUCUCUUGGCUCAAGCCCAGAGAUCAGCUCAGGACCAACAUCACCUUCAGACCCCUUGUUGGGUAUCACCUUCAGACCGACUCGCGGGAUGAAGAAGGGGUUUCCCCAACUGCCUAUGAGAGGACAGGAGGAAGUGCUGCAGUCCCCGUGUCCAGCCUUGUAUAUCAGGACCAUCUGCUACCGGCCCCAGCCCAGAUGAUACAGUUGGAGCCUACCCACAGCAUCCUCUCCCGCCUUCAGACGGUUCCAGGAACAAGAGUGAGUCAGACUCAGCUGAAGCAUGUCUUGCUAACCCAUGCAAUAGCCCAGGGGGCCCAGCAUAGGGGACCACCUGCUCACAGGGCAGGUGUUCCCUGCGACCUCUCCACACAGGAAAGGAAUCUCACCCUGAGCCCUCAUGGGGCACUCAGACCCGCCUUCCAGAUGUGCCCCUUCCCUCUCCACGGGACUGCAGCCAGUCACAAGUUCAAGCGCAGCUGCCACAGCUCUUUACCGUGGCAGCUUGUUCCAAAGCGCGUCACAGUGAAGCCAGUGGCUCACAGCUCGGUCACUUCCUGCCGUGGAAGCUCUCAGAAGAACCCCUGGGUCUACUUUAGGUGAAAAAUGGGUCAUUGCCAUCAGGAAAGGACUUCCAGGGGCGGUGUCCUAGGCAGCUGUGUCUCUGGGCCACCGAGAAGGCACGCUAUUCAGAGGCUCGGCACGCUAUUCAGCUAUUAGGUCCAGGUGGAGCCUUCGCUCUCCACCUGGCUGCCCUUCAUAGCAACUAAUGUCUCAUGGUGAAGAGAGGCCAUUAGCUUCCAGUGCACGGGGAGGACCCUGCUUACACAUCUGGCUUACAGACCAUGCUUGCUCUUCUGAAAUGUGAGACAAUACAGGAUUAUCCGACCCGUCGACGAUGCCAGCACCUGUGAAGGAGGACCACACAUGGGAAGGGUCUGUCCUGCUACCUGGCUGUCAUGUUUUGUAUCAUACGGAGCUGUGACGGUGCCAGCUGAGUUUGCUCAGAAGCUGUAGAGACCUGGAAUGCCAGACUCUCUGGACUUGUGUACUUCUUGAGCCCUAGAACAGGCCUCCCCCACAACCCCCCUCUGGGACCUCUCAUUAGAGAGCUCACAGGUAAUGGUGCCCCAGCUUGGCUAGUAGAUCAUUGUAGAUUUGGCCUUUGUUCCUGAUGCUGGGAACCUGGGGAUCCCAGAGACUGGGAUUUGGCUUGGUGUUUAUCUUUUUCUGAAGUCCCCUUUCUCUUCCAGUGGAUAUUGCUGCACCUGGAUGUGCUUGUGUUGGACAGAGCCUGGUCCCAUUGUGAAGUCACAGCACUGGUGUCCACAACAGGUUCUGGGGUCCUGUUGGGGCCUGAGCCCUUUUCAGCCUUGAGUCCCUGCUAGCAUAACUUCCUGGUCUGGAGUCUAUCUGCUGCUCCUGUAGAGCCUUGCAGUUUAUCUGUGGUCAGUUUUCUCACUCAUUUCCUGCCAGCUGCUACUGGUUUUUCAGUCAGCUUCUAGAGCUACAGUAAUUGGGAAAGUGCACAGUCCAAGUGAUUCACCAGCUGUGGCAGGCGGGACGUGAAGACUGUGACAUACCCUGUGUCGAGCAGAGAUGGGCACCUCCACCCAGCCUGGGUCUGUCCCCUGGGCCUCUGUGAGUGACACAGAGAGGUGCUGGGGCACAUACUCACUGUGAACUGAAAGCUGAUGUAUGUGUGCGUGCGUGUAUGUGUGACAUAAGGGAUUUUUUUUUUUCUGAAGCCAAAAUAAAUGGUUUCAUGUUUUGAGAUGUCUGGGCUUGGUUCCUUUCACGGGGAACCCUGGGCUCUCUGAGGUAUGGUGAGUGAGUGAGUGUGCUAGGCCACUGACUGAGCUAUCUGAUCACACUUAAAAUUUUGUUUCUUGGAAUUUCCAAAAAUGAAGAGAAGGAAACUCCCUCACUGGAGCAAAUUACUCCUCCAGACCCAACACUUUGGACAUGUUUAUUCCUUCUUAUUUUAUGCCGUGGAAUAGUGUUUUGGAGCGGCCCACAUGCCAACGAUCACUACUUAAGGGCAUCUCUAUCCAGAAGCUUCUCUGCAGGGGUGGGGCCCUGUGUGGACAGCAGAGUCCCCAGAGGGUAGAAUAAGGACCGGAAGGAGCACAGCCACCUGGGAACUAGUGUAAGGGGUGGGAUGCAAGGCCUGACUUGAAGCUCAGGCCCAGGGCCUGUGGGAUUGGGCCAGCCAUCUGGCUCCUACAUGCCUCUCAGCUGGCCCUUCCGAUGACAUCGUUAGUAGACUUUUAUUAAUCUGUUAGUAGAUAUGAAUUGUGAAGAAUGAAAAUGACGCCCCAGUGUGGAGUUACACAGUGGAGUCCACGUGUUUUCUGCCUUCUUCUUGGGUUUCUAACUGAGCAGUUCAUCUUCUCCUAGUUUUGGAAGGGAAGUGUGCCAGGUCGACUAAAAGCACCCAGGAGCCCGUGAUGGAGUUGAUGAUGUAGGCCACCCAGGUGCAUGCCUAGAAGACACCUGUGGCGUCGUCACCCACACCAGACUUGUGCGAUUCAGGCACAUGGUCUGAGCAGUUUAAUGCUAUUCUUGGUGUGAGCACCAGUACGCCAUGAUAUGUCGCUGGCUUUUGUCUGGGCUUGUCACCUUUACCAUAUGGUAGGAUCUACCUUUUCUGGGCCUAUAAUAUCUAUUGGGCCACUUCACUGGCCAGGAUGUCAAAUGCCCACUGGGUCUGGGUUCCAGAUGGUACCUUCCAAUUUCCUGCCUGAAGUUUAAGAAGUCACUUGCCAAAGCUUACCAACUCCUCUCCAGUCACUGUGUGUGUAUGUAUACAUGUAUUUAUAUGCAUAUGGCUGCCGUAGUACAACCUCAUCUGUUCUUCCCCA